UGGGGAAUAUUGGACAAUGGGGGGAACCCUGAUCCAGCCAUGCCGCGUGUGUGAAGAAGGCCUUAUGGUUGUAAAGCACUUUAAGCGAGGAGGAGGGUACUGGUAUUAAUACUACCAGGUACUGGACGUUACUCGCAGAAUAAGCACCGGCUAACUCUGUGCCAGCAGCCGCGGUAAUACAGAGGGUGCGAGCGUUAAUCGGAUUUACUGGGCGUAAAGCGUGCGUAGGCGGCUAAUUGAGUCGGAUGUGAAAUCCCCGAGCAUAACUUGGGAAUUGCAUUCGAUACUGGUUAGCUAGAGUGUGGGAGAGGAUGGUAGAAUUCCAGGUGUAGCGGUGAAAUGCGUAGAGAUCUGGAGGAAUACCGAUGGCGAAGGCAGCCAUCUGGCCUAACACUGACGCUGAGGUACGAAAGCAUGGGGAGCAAACAGG
rnacentral:rRNA from 1 species